rnacentral:tRNA from 1 species
GCCCCCUUCGUCUAGUGGCCCAGGACACUGGAUUCUCAGUCCAGAGACAGGGGUUCGACUCCCCUAGGGGGUA